UUCCUUCCCUGUUUCUCCUGCGCAAGGGCGCCUGGCGGUGGCGAGAUGGGGGUGAUGGCACACAGCCGUGAGCCUCCGUGAAAGGCGCGGGGCCAGGCAGGUGAAAGCCUGCACCGGGGCAGGCAGUCACAGGAUCCUGGGGCCAGGCGUGGCGGCCCGGCCCAGGCUGAGCAGCCCCUGGCGCAGGUGGACCGGCUGAUCAUCUGCGUGUUCCUCGAGAAGGACGAGGACAUCUACCGGAGCCGGCUCCCCCACUACUUCCCCGUGGCCUGAGGCUCCCGCAGCCCACCCUGACCGGGACCGACCUGCCUUCGGGACCCCGCUCCCAGCUCUGAGAGGUCGCCAAAGCCUGCAGCCUGGCCUGGGCCUGGCCACCCCUUCUUUCCGUCCGAGCCCCGCCCCUGAGGAGCCUAAUAAAGAUCACGUUGUGG
rnacentral:sRNA from 1 species